rnacentral:rRNA from 1 species
UACGUAGGUGGCAAGCGUUGUUCGGAAUUAUUGGGCGUAAAGGGCGCGUAGGCGGCAUGUUAAGUCGGCUGUGAAAGCCUGGGGCUCAACCCCAGAGGGUCGGCCGAUACUGGCAAGCUAGAGUACGGAAGAGGUAGCUGGAAUUCCCGGUGUAGCGGUGAAAUGCGUAGAUAUCAGGAGGAACACCGGUGGCGAAGGCGGGUCUCUGGGCCGAUAUCGACGCUGAUGAGCGAAAGCGUGGGGAGCGAACAGG